rnacentral:rRNA from 1 species
GACGAACGCUGGCGGCGUGCUUAACACAUGCAAGUCGAACGGAAAGGCCCCCACUUUUUUGGUGGGGGUGCUCGAGUGGCGAACGGGUGAGUAACACGUGGGUGAUCUGCCCUGUACUUCGGGAUAAGCUUGGGAAACUGGGUCUAAUACCGGAUAGGACCAUGGUUUAGUGUCUCAUGGUGGAAAAAUUAUUGUUUUGGUGCAGGAUGAGCUCGCGGCCUAUCAGCUUGUUGGUGGGGUAAUGGCCUACCAAGGCGUCGACGGGUAGCCGGCCUGAGAGGGUGGACGGCCACAUUGGGACUGAGAUACGGCCCAGACUCCUACGGGAGGCAGCAGUGGGGAAUAUUGCACAAUGGGCGCAAGCCUGAUGCAGCGACGCCGCGUGGGGGAUGACGGCCUUCGGGUUGUAAACUCCUUUCGUUAGGGACGAAGCCACACCUUUUUUUGGGUGUGGUGACGGUACCUUUGUUAAGAAGCACCGGCUAACUACGUGCCAGCAGCCGCGGUAAUACGUAGGGUGCGAGCGUUGUCCGGAAUUACUGGGCGUAAAGAGCUCGUAGGUGGUUUGUUGCGUCGUCUGUGAAAUUCCGGGGCUUAACUUCGGGGUGGCAGGCGAUACGGGCAUAACUAGAGUGCUGCAGGGGAGACUGGAAUUCCUGGUGUAGCGGGGGAAUGCCU